CACGUGCAGGCCCGAGAAGGCAAAAGAGGCCCAGCCACUCUCACCGGAGAUUUUAUCCGCCUCCCCGGCACACACACACUCUCACUCACGCACUCGCUCGCCGGCCUUCCAGCUGUCUGUGUCCGGGGCGGGGACCGGCUUGGCACCGACCGCUGCGGGCGGGGCAGAGCGCGCCGCCCGCUGUCAGCGCUCGCCGGCUCCUCGCGCCCCUGCCCGCUGCGCUCUGCCCAGAGCAGAAGCCCGGCCGGCCGGCCCACGGGCGGGAGGACGGGCCUCCGCUCGGGCGGAGGCGGCGCGGUGGCUGAUCAGAGAGCGGAGGGCCUCGCCGGGGCCGGGAGCUGGGCGCGGUCCUGCUCAGCCCAGCUCGCCGCGCGCCGGCCCUCGGCGCCCUGGUUCUGCGGAUCAGGAGAAAAUAAUGAAUGUCAAAGGAAAAGUAAUUCUGUCAAUGCUGGUUGUCUCAACUGUGAUCAUUGUGUUUUGGGAAUUUAUCAACAGCACAGAAGGCUCUUUCUUGUGGAUAUAUCACUCAAAAAACCCAGAAGUUGAUGACAGCAGUGCUCAGAAGGGCUGGUGGUUUCUGAGCUGGUUUAACAAUGGGAUCCACAAUUAUCAACAAGGGGAAGAAGACAUAGACAAAGAAAAAGGAAGAGAGGAGACCAAAGGAAGGAAAAUGACACAACAGAGCUUCGGCUAUGGGACUGGUUUAAUCCAAACUUGAAGGAAUCCAAAUAACUAAACUGGACUCUGGUUUUCUGACUCAGUCCUUCUAGAAGACCUGGACUGAGAGAUCAUGCAGUUAAGGAGUGUGUAACAGGCGGACCACCUGUUGGGACUGCGAGAUUCUCAAGGGGAAGGACUGGGUCUCAUUUCUCCCAUCUCAGCGCUUAGCAGGAUGACCUGGUAUAGAGCAGGGAACUGGGAAAUGUGGGUCAGGGGAUCAGACACCCCAGUUGGGUCUUUUAUAUAAAUUAAAUGGCAAAAGGCUCCAUACCCUUCUCCUUCUUUCCUACCCUCCACUUUAUCUGCAAAAUGGGAAUGAUGAUAACACCCACUUCAUAGAAUGGUCAUGAAGAUCAAAUGAGAGAAUAAAAGUCAAGCACUUAGCCUCUGGUGCACAAUAAGUAUUAAAUAAGUUAUACCUAUUCCUCCUUUUCCUUUUUUAAAAAUAAUAUUACCAAAUGUCCAGCUUAUACACAGUUACAAGACUUAGCUAGUGGGCUAUGUUAGAGCUACUAAAAGAUCUUUGACAAGCUAAAACUAAGAUGCAAUGAAUGAGGUGUAACGAACAAGAGAGUUUUAAGUUCAGAAAUGGUUACAGAAGUAUAAGACAGCUGUGUGGGUGUUUUUUGGUUUUUGGUUUCUGGUUUACAAUCUCGUCAUUCAACAAAGAUGGGAGUUUUAUAGAACUAAAAGCACCAUGUAAGCUACUAAAAACAACAACAAAAAAGGCUCAUCAUUUCUCAGUCUGAAUUGACAAAAAUGCCAAUGCUAAUAAAAAUGAUUACUUUUUAUUUUA
rnacentral:sRNA from 1 species